UUUAUUGGAAAGUGGCGAACGGGUGAGUAACACGUAGGUAACCUGCCUCGGAGUGGGGGAUAACCAUUGGAAACGAUGGCUAAUACCGCAUAUUCUAUUUUAAUGGGAAUUAGAGUGGAUAAAGUUACGGCGCUUCGAGAGGGGCCUGCGGCCGAUUAGCUAGUUGGUGAGGUAAAGGCUCACCAAGGCGGAGAUCGGUAGCUGGUCUGAGAGGACGAUCAGUCACACGGGAACUGAGACACGGUCCCGACUCCUACGGGGGGCAGCAGUGAGGAAUAUUGCACAAUGGGGGGAACCCUGAUGCAGCAACGCCGCGUGAAGGAAGACGGUCUUUGGAUUGUAAACUUCUUUUAACGGGGAAGAGGAAGGACGGUACCCGUUGAAUAAGUCACGGCUAACUACGUGCCAGCAGCCGCGGUAAUACGUAGGUGGCGAGCGUUAUCCGGAAUUAUUGGGCGUAAAGGGCGCGUAGGCGGCCAUUUAAGUUUGACGUGAAAGCUCCUGGCUUAACUGGGAGAGGUCGUUGGAAACUGAAUGGCUUGAGGCAAUGAGAGGGGUGCGGAAUUCCCGGUGUAGUGGUGAAAUGCGUAGAGAUCUGAAGGAACAUCAGUGGCGAAGGCGACUCACUGGGCCAUUACUGACACUGAGGUGCGAAAGUCGUGGGUAGCAAGCAGGAUUAGAUACCCUGGUAGUCCACGCCCUAAACGAUGUC
rnacentral:rRNA from 1 species